UACGGAGGGGGCUAGCGUUGUUCGGAAUUACUGGGCGUAAAGCGCACGUAGGCGGAUAUUUAAGUCAGGGGUGAAAUCCCGGGGCUCAACCCCGGAACUGCCUUUGAUACUGGGUAUCUGGAGGUCGAGAGAGGCGAGUGGAAUUCCGAGUGUAGAGGUGAAAUUCGUAGAUAUUCGGAGGAACACCAGUGGCGAAGGCGGCUCGCUGGCUCGAUUCUGACGCUGAGGUGCGAAAGCGUGGGGAGCAAACAGG
rnacentral:rRNA from 1 species